rnacentral:rRNA from 1 species
AGCGAACGCUGGCGGCAGGCCUAACACAUGCAAGUCGAACGGAUCCUUCGGGAUUAGUGGCGGACGGGUGAGUAACACGUGGUAACGUGCCCUUUGGUUCGGAACAACUCAGGGAAACUUAAGCUAAUACCGGAUGUGCCCUUCGGGGGAAAGAUUUAUCGCCAUUGGAGCGGCCCGCGUCUGAUUAGCUAGUUGGUGAGGUAACGGCCCACCAAGGCGACGAUCAGUAGCUGGUCUGAGAGGAUGAUCAGCCACACUGGGACUGAGACACGGCCCAGACUCCUACGGGGGGCAGCAGUGGAGAAUCUUGCGCAAUGGGCGAAAGCCUGACGCAGCCAUGCCGCGUGAAUGAUGAAGGUCUUAGGAUUGUAAAAUUCUUUCAGCGGGGACGAUAAUGACGGUACCCGCAGAAGAAGCUCCGGCUAACUUCGUG